GACCUGCACAACUUAAUAACAUGGAAGGCGAGUUUUUUGACUUCGCUACCGCCGCGGACGCGAGCUCGGUGUGACCUGCCCUUAAGCCUUGAUAACUGGUCAAUUAUUGGGGUUGUUGAAUAACAAAAAUACAAAACUGGAGACGUUUCAAAUGUUCGCCUGGCUCGAGAAGUGAGACUACCGCCGAGGUACUACCUCCGCGGUAGCGAGCUCGGUGUGACCUGCACAACUUAAUAACAUGGAAGGCGAGUUUUUUGACUUCGCUACCGCCGCGGACGCGAGCUCGGUUUGACCUGCCCUUAAGCCUUGAUAACUGGUCAAUUAUUGGGGUUGUUGAAUAACAAAAAUACAAAACUGAUUGUUGGUCAACGUGUAUCCAUCCAUGGAUAAGAAAAAGAGGACAUGCUCAAGAGCAUUGUGGUACAAGGGUAAAAAAAGAGUUUAAAAGAAUUUAAUUAUGUGUUUGAAGUGGACUCAUCAAAAAACGAUAUUGGUGAAGUGUUCACCUCUGAAGAUAGCAUUAGUCCUGUGGAUACUGGUAUAGAUGUAAAUCGUUCUGAUUUUAGUAGUGUGGGAUGUAGUAGUUGGUAUGAAGAUUUUAUGUCAGGUCCAAAUUUUUCAUGAUAAAAAUAGUAUGUCACCAAGUAAGUCGCCAAGUAUGUUUAGCCAUGAAUCUUGUGUGAGCUCAGAUCAAGAUGAAACAAUUUGUGUAAAUAAUAAUAGUAGUCCUGAAAUAAAAAUUAUCUUGAAGAAUGCUCAAAUUCCGGGAAAAAAAUUGAAGAUAAAUUUACAUUGGACUCAUUUGAGAACAAACUUUCCAAUUGGUGUGUAAGUGAGAAAAUCCCUCAGAAAUCUGUAGUCUUUUAAAAAUAUUAAAAACUGUUCCAAUCUUGAUAGCUUGCCAGACGACGUUUAUACUCUACUUAAAACGUCUAGAUGUACUGCAGUUCGGACCUUAAUGAGUGGAUAAUACAUAUAUUUAGGUAUUGAAAAUGGAUUGAAGAGUAUUUUGAAGUCUUUUCAGGUUUCUAAUAAUAGAACAGAGCUCAAACUGCUUUUUAAUAUUGAUGGGCUGCCUGUAUCUAAAAGUUCAGGUGGUCAUCAAAUGUGGCGACAGCUUACUUAAUUAUUCGGUAAUAAUAAAAUAAGUAAUAAUUAAUUACUUAAUAAUUCGGUCAAUAAAAGAGUUCACCGGUUUUUGUGGUAGGCCUGUAUUAUGGCAAUGAAAAACCCAGUGAUAGCAAUGAGUUCAUGAGGAAAUUGGUAGAAGAGUUGAAUUGUUUAUUUGAAAAUGGGUUUUAUUUGAAUGAUUUAUUUUCAAAAUGAAUCAUCUUGGGUUUGUGUGUGACAUGCCAGCUAAAGCCUUUGUUUUACAAAUCAAGGGACACACAGGUUUUUACUCGUGUACUCGGUUCACAAUGGAAGGAGAAAGUGUAAAUAAGAGAGUGUGCUUUAUAGAUUCAAACUGCUCAAGUAAGACCCAAAAAAGGUUUUGUUCAUUGAGCCAAGAAAAACAUCACAUUGGUGCAACAGUACUGACAUUGUUGAACCAUAUUGAUUUAAUUUCAAGUUUCAGCUUAGACUAUAAGCAUUCAGUUUGUUUAGGAGUUGUAAAAAAAAUUAUCCUUUUGUGGCUCAAGGGUGAACUAAGAUAUAGAUUUCCACAUAGGCAAGUGCAAAACCUAAGUGACAGGCUUGUCUCAUUGAAGAAAUUCAUACCUUCAGAGUUUGGAAGGAGAACUCCGUCUCUUUCUGAAGUUAGCCGUUUGAAAGCAAUGGAUUCCGUCAAUUUUUGCUGUACACAAGUAUCGUAGAUUUGCCCCCUUUUUUAUCAACCGAUAUAAUGUCUAACUUCAUAGCUUUACAUAUAUCAUUGAGAAUAUUAUUGAAGGACAAGUCACCCGCACCACUCAAUUGAUAUGCACCAUGUUUGCACAAGAAGAACUGCUCUCUACUGUUAUGAACAAAUUCUGGGAAACUGAGGAAGCUCUCCUUGUUCAAAAGAUUUACCGCCCGAGAACUGUGUGAAAAGCUGUAUCAAUCCACCACCUACCGCAAUGAUGAAGGAAGAUAUGUAGUCGCGCUUCCAUUCAAACCUGAAGCACCCCCUCUUGCCUCAAACCGCAAACAGGCUUACCGAAGUCAUCUUGGUCUGUUGAAACAUCUGGAUAAAUCCUCAAAAUUGGAGGAGAAAUACUCCACCAAUUUCAUGAAUGAAUAUCAAGAACUUGGGCACUUAGCACUUUCCGAUUCUGCUGUCAACUACGUUAUUCCACAUCACACCAUCUUCAAAAACAAUGAUCCUAGCCAGAAAAUUUGUGUUGUCUGCAAUGCUUCCAGUAAGGAUGAAAACGAUUGUAAGCAGAUGUACCGCCAGAUUCUGUCGAGAUCUAAAGACUACUGCUAUGCAGCUACAUCAAUACCUCCUGUUUCACGGUUUCCUACAGUUUCGAGUCUUCCACACCCCUCUACUAGAAAUAAUGCCACCUGCGCUGUGGAUGCUCCUGUCUUUGAGUCACCGCUGCCUCCGCACCUCUGGAUUAAUGUACAGCCUCUCACUGCCCGCCAUUGACAUCUUGCUGGGUCACCACGUGCUGCUCAUUAUUGUCACCACGCUAGUUCACCGCUCGCUGAAUGAUGACCACCGCCCUACUUCAUCUUGUGAUGACCGCACCACUGUUUGAGCUGCAGCACAGACUAAUGCCUGUUCAUGUCUGAAUCGCUGAGGAUUCCCACUGUUGCACUGCCGCUACCUCCUCGCUUUGCUACACUCCACUUCACCGCAUCACAUAAGCUAUUUUGUUUGCCACUACCGCCUGCACUGUUUUAUCACCGCCUGCCGCCUGUAAUGAUGAUUGAUGACCGCACCGCUGUUGCCAUGCUGCCCUACUUCACCGCUCGCUGCCCACUCUUGCUGCACCGUCGAUUCACUCACCUCCAGUGAUGAGAUCGCCGCCAAACAUACUAGAGCGCUGCCUCUAGCUCCUACAGAGCUAUUUGAACUAUCGUUCGCCAAGGAACCGUUCUUUGAAGGAGUCGUUUUCGAGUUAUCAUUCACUCAGUUCACAGUACAAAGUCGAUCCCGUUUCCUGCUACGUCUCGUGUCGUUCCCCGCUCCAAGUUAGAUUCAUGUCGAUUCUCUACAAGAUUAAUCCGCUCCAAGUGUUUUACUACUGUGAUACCGCUUAUAUAUUUACCUGAGACUUAUUAUUGUUGAGUAUAAUUAUUCAUAAAGACAGUAUAGAAAUAAGCAAGUUGUGCUACUGCCUAGUAUUGAGAUUCCCGCCUUCGUAUGAAAGACUUUGUUUUACACCGCCUUGUUGUAUUGAACUUGAUUUAUGUGUUUCAGUAAUUCAUUUGAUCAACUUAUUGUUGGUCUGGUAUUCCCGUUAAUCAAUAAAAGUGUAUUAGUUUCAAUUUGUGUUCACUCAGUCCAACCUGGCUCUACCAGUAGAAGCUACUAAGUAAUUUGUUAUUGCACCCACCUCAGUGGCCGUAACAGGAUCAGUUGGUUUUGAAAUACUUGUCAAUUUCAAAGUUAUAAGGGUUGAAAGAAAGUGUAAAACUUUUAGUUACAAUAGUAGUUUAUUAACGGAAACUUGGUGGAGUUACUUUUUGGAAAUUACAUCCAUCCAUUGAAUGACCUUCUUCUCGAGUGGCUCAUUCUUGGAGUCUGUUCUAACGUUUCUCAUUAUCCGCUCAAGCACAUCACAAAGAAGUGAUGGGAUUUCGUUGUGAGAUGCUGGCUUCAACUCCUGAAUGAUCCGGGGUUUCAUCAUUCAGCUUUGAAAUAGGUAACAGUUUAUUCCUGUUUUCAACUAAAUAAAAGUUGAGAAAAACAAUGGCAUCCAAAAAUGGUUGGAAUGUUUGUUUGUGGUGAUAAGACUCCUCUAUUAUAAUCUAUUUUAUUGUGAAGACUUUUGUUUCAAGACACCAGAUUCUCAGAUAUAAAUUUAGAUGACCCUUGCUUUGAAAUAGGUAGCAGUUUAUUCCUGUUUUCGACUAACUAUAAGUUGAGAAAAACAAUGCUAUCCAAAAAUGGUUGCUUGUGGUGAUAAGACUCCUUUAUUAUAAUCUAUUUUAUUGUGAAGAUUUUUUUUUCAAGACACCAGAUUCUCAGAUAUAAAUUUAGAUGACCCUUGCUUUGAAAUAGGUAGCAGUUUAUUCCUGUUUUCGACUAAAUAAAAGUUGAGAAAAAACAAUGGCAUCCAAAAAUGGUUGGAAUGUUUGUUUGUGGUGAUAAGACUCCUCUAUUAUAAUCUAUUUUAUUGUGAAGAUUUUUUUUUCAAGACACCAGAUUCUCAGAUAUAAAUUUAGAUGACCCUUGCUUUGAAAUAGGUAGCAGUUUAUUCCUGUUUUCGACUAAAUAAAAGUUGAGAAGAACAAUGCUUUCCAAAAAUGGUUGCUUGUGGUGAUAAGACUCCUGUAUUAUAAUUUAUUUUAUUGUGAAGACUUCUGUUUCAAGACACCAGAUUCUCAGAUAUAAAUUUAGAUGACCCUUGCUUUGAAAUAGGUAGCAGUUUAUUCCUGUUUUCGACUAAAUAAAAGAUGAGAAAAACAAUGCUUUCCAAAAAUUGUUUGAAUGGUUGCUUGUGGUGAUAAGAUUUCUAUUAUAAUUU